UAGGGAAUCUUCGGCAAUGGACGGAAGUCUGACCGAGCAACGCCGCGUGAGUGAAGAAGGUUUUCGGAUCGUACAGCUCUGUUGUUAGAGAAGAACGUUGGUAGGAGUGGAAAAUCCACCAAGUGACGGUAACUAACCAGAAAGGGACGGCUAACUACGUGCCAGCAGCCGCGGUAAUACGUAGGUCCCGAGCGUUGUACGGAUUUAUUGGGCGUAAAGCGAGCACAGGCGGCUCAUUAAGUCUGAAGUUAAAGGCAGUGGCUUAACCAUUGUACGCUUUGGAAACUGGAGGACUUGAUUGCAGAAGGGGAGAGUGGAAUUCCGUGUCUAGCGGUGAAAUGCGUAGAUAUAUGGUGGAACAGCAGUGGCGAUAGCGGCUCUCUGGUCUGUAACUGACGCUGAGGCUCGAAAGCGUGGGGAGCAAACAGG
rnacentral:rRNA from 1 species